rnacentral:rRNA from 1 species
GACGAACGCUGGCGGCGUGCUUAACACAUGCAAGUCGAACGGAAAGGCCCUUGUUUGUUGGGGUACUCGAGUGGCGAACGGGUGAGUAACACGUGGGUAACCUGCCCUGCACUUUGGGAUAAGUUCAGGAAACUGGGUCUAAUACCGGAUAGGACCUCGUUCUGCAUGGUAUUGUGGAGAGAUUUUCUGGUGUGGGAUGUGCUCGCGGCUUAUCAGCUUGUUGGUGGGGUAUUGGCUUACCAAGGCGUCGACGGGUAGCCGGCCUGAGAGGGUGUACGGCCACAUUGGGACUGAGAUACGGCCCAGACUCCUACGGGAGGCAGCAGUGGGGAAUAUUGCACAAUGGGCGCAAGCCUGAUGCAGCAACGCCGCGUGGGGGAUGACGGCCUUCGGGUUGUAAACCGCUUUCGCUUGUGACGAAGCGCGAGUGACGGUACCGGGUAAAGAAGCACCGGCUAACUACGUG